rnacentral:rRNA from 1 species
CCUACGGGAGGCAGCAGUGGGGAAUAUUGGACAAUGGACGAAAGUCUGAUCCAGCAAUGCCGCGUGAGUGAUGAAGGCCUUAGGGUUGUAAAGCUCUUUUACCAGGGAUGAUAAUGACAGUACCUGGAGAAUAAGCUCCGGCUAACUCCGUGCCAGCAGCCGCGGUAAUACGGAGGGAGCUAGCGUUGUUCGGAAUUACUGGGCGUAAAGCGCACGUAGGCGGUUAUUCAAGUCAGAGGUGAAAGCCCGGGGCUCAACCCCGGAACUGCCUUUGAAACUAGAUAGCUAGAAUCCUGGAGAGGUGAGUGGAAUUCCGAGUGUAGAGGUGAAAUUCGUAGAUAUUCGGAAGAACACCAGUGGCGAAGGCGGCUCACUGGACAGGUAUUGACGCUGAGGUGCGAAAGCGUGGGGAGCAAACAGGAUUAGAUACCCGUGGUAGUCCACGCCGUAAACGAUGAUAACUAGCUGUCCGGGACACAGUGGUGUCGUUGGGGUGGCCGCGAGCGUACGACAUUAAGUUAGUCCGUCCGUGGGAGGUACGGUCGCGAGAAUUAAACUACGAAGAAGUAGACGGCGNGAGAGUGCCGACGACGACGACGAGGGAGGAGG